GGCAUCAUAGUGGGGCCCGGCUCAGCAGCGUUUGAGGUGAUGCGGGAUCUGGUGUUCAACCUGCCGAUGAUGGUG
rnacentral:tRNA from 1 species